rnacentral:rRNA from 1 species
CAGUCGAGGGGCAGCGCAGUGUAGCAAUACAUGGGCGGCGACCGGCAAACGGGUGCGGAACACGUACGCAACCUUCCUUCAAGCGGGGCAUAGCUUUCGGAAACGAAAAUUAAUACCCCAUAGUAAUGUCUGGGGGCAUCUGAGGACAUUUAAAGAUUUAUCACUUGAAGAUGGGCGUGCGCCUGAUUAGGUAGUUGGCGGGGUAACGGCCCACCAAGCCUACGAUCAGUAACUGGUGUGAGAGCACGACCAGUCACACGGGCACUGAGACACGGGCCCGACUCCUACGGGAGGCAGCAGUAAGGAAUAUUGGUCAAUGGACGCAAGUCUGAACCAGCCAUGCCGCGUGGAGGAUGAAGGUCCUCUGGAUUGUAAACUUCUUUUAUCGGAGAAGAAACCCCUGAAUUCUUUUAGGGUUGACGGUACCCGAUGAAUAAGCACCGGCUAACUCCGUGCCAGCAGCCGCGGUAAUACGGAGGGUGCAAGCGUUAUCCGGAUUCACUGGGUUUAAAGGGAGCGUAGGUGGGCUGGUAAGUCAGUGGUGAAAUCUCCGGGCUUAACUCGGAAACUGCCGUUGAUACUAUCGGUCUUGAAUGUUGUGGAGGUAAGCGGAAUAUGUCAUGUAGCGGUGAAAUGCUUAGAUAUGACAUAGAACACCGAUAGCGAAGGCAGCUUGCUACACAAUUAUUGACACUGAGGCUCGAAAGCGUGGGGAUCAAACAGGAUUAGAUACCCUGGUAGUCCACGCCCUAAACGAUGGAUACUCGACAUAUGCGAUACACUGUAUGUGUCUGAGCGAAAGCAUUAAGUAUCCCACCUGGGAAGUACGACCGCAAGGUUGAAACUCAAAGGAAUUGG